CUUCUUCAGAGCUCACAUAUAACACAACGAUCAGCAACUCUUUCCUUCAGCACAAGAGCUAGAUAAGAUGAGGACUACCCAUAUGUUGCUUCUAGGCCUCAGUUUCCUUGUGUUCGCAUCGGAUGCGGUAAUGGAAGCGUCAACAGACGGUAGCAUCAAACUCUUCACAUGUGUGGCAAAAAUUCUCCCAUCGCCAACAUGUGACAACCAAACUUGUGAUGCGAUGUGCAAGUACCGUACAGGGCAACAGAAGUCUGGUGUGUGUAUUGCCGAGGGAUGCAAGUGCACAUUGUGCAUAUACAACCCUCCACGAUAAUCACGACAUGUGUGCUAACUAGAUUAUAUGGGAUGGUUUCUUCCAUGAACAACGUGAUGAAACCACAAGUGGUGUGGUAAGGAUUUCAAUAAUGAUCCAUAUGAAAAGUGAUGAAUUUGUUCC